AAUACAUGCAAGUCGAGCGGACAGAAGGGAGCUUGCUCCCGGAUGUUAGCGGCGGACGGGUGAGUAACACGUGGGUAACCUGCCUGUAAGACUGGGAUAACUCCGGGAAACCGGAGCUAAUACCGGAUAGUUCCUUGAACCGCAUGGUUCAAGGAUGAAAGACGGUUUCGGCUGUCACUUACAGAUGGACCCGCGGCGCAUUAGCUAGUUGGUGAGGUAACGGCUCACCAAGGCGACGAUGCGUAGCCGACCUGAGAGGGUGAUCGGCCACACUGGGACUGAGACACGGCCCAGACUCCUACGGGAGGCAGCAGUAGGGAAUCUUCCGCAAUGGACGAAAGUCUGACGGAGCAACGCCGCGUGAGUGAUGAAGGUUUUCGGAUCGUAAAGCUCUGUUGUUAGGGAAGAACAAGUGCAAGAGUAACUGCUUGCACCUUGACGGUACCUAACCAGAAAGCCACGGCUAACUACGUGCCAGCAGCCGCGGUAAUACGUAGGUGGCAAGCGUUGUCCGGAAUUAUUGGGCGUAAAGGGCUCGCAGGCGGUUUCUUAAGUCUGAUGUGAAAGCCCCCGGCUCAACCGGGGAGGGUCAUUGGAAACUGGGAAACUUGAGUGCAGAAGAGGAGAGUGGAAUUCCACGUGUAGCGGUGAAAUGCGUAGAGAUGUGGAGGAACACCAGUGGCGAAGGCGACUCUCUGGUCUGUAACUGACGCUGAGGAGCGAAAGCGUGGGGAGCGAACAGGAUUAGAUACCCUGGUAGUCCACGCCGUAAACGAUGAGUGCUAAGU
rnacentral:rRNA from 1 species